ensembl:snRNA U6 U6 spliceosomal RNA
GUGCUUGCUUUGGCAGCACAUAUACUAAAAUUGGAAUAGUACAGAGAAGAUUAGCAUGGCCCCUGCACAAAGAUAAUAUGCAAAUUCGUGAAGCAUUCCAUAUUAAA